GACCGCGUAGCUCAGUUGGAAGAGCAUUGGGCUAGUAUUCCAAAGGUCGUAGGUUCAAAUCCCACCGUGGCCG